rnacentral:rRNA from 1 species
UGGGGAAUUUUGGACAAUUGGGCGAAAGCCUGAUCCAGCAAUGCCGCGUGUGUGAAGAAGGCCUUCGGGUUGUAAAGCACUUUUGUCCGGAAAGAAAUCCUUGGCUCUAAUACAGUCGGGGGAUGACGGUACCGGAAGAAUAAGCACCGGCUAACUACGUGCCAGCAGCCGCGGUAAUACGUAGGGUGCAAGCGUUAAUCGGAAUUACUGGGCGUAAAGCGUGCGCAGGCGGUUUGCUAAGACCGAUGUGAAAUCCCCGGGCUCAACCUGGGAACUGCAUUGGUGACUGGCAGGCUAGAGUAUGGCAGAGGGGGGUAGAAUUCCACGUGUAGCAGUGAAAUGCGUAGAGAUGUGGAGGAAUACCGAUGGCGAAGGCAGCCCCCUGGGCCAAUACUGACGCUCAUGCACGAAAGCGUGGGGAGCAAACAGGAUUAGAUACCCUGGUAGUCCACGCCCUAAACGAUGUCAACUAGUUGUUGGGGAUUCAUUUCCUUAGUAACGUAGCUAACGCGUGAAGUUGACCGCCUGGGGAGUACGGUCGCAAGAUUAAAACUCAAAUGAAUUGACGGGGUCAUA